AUUGAACGCUGGCGGCAGGCCUAACACAUGCAAGUCGAACGAGUGGCGGACGGGUGAGUAAUGUCUGGGAAACUGCCCGAUGGAGGGGGAUAACUACUGGAAACGGUAGCUAAUACCGCAUACCAUCGGAUGUGCCCAGAUGGGAUGAGCUAGUAGGUGGGGUAACGGCUCACCUAGGCGACGACCCCUAGCUGGUCUGAGAGGAUGACGGGCAACACUGGAACUGAGACACGGGCCAGACUCCUACGGGAGGAAGCAGUGGGGAAUAUUGGACAAUGGGCGCAAGCCUGAUGCAGCCAGGCCGAGUGUAUGAAAAAGGCCUUCGGGUUGUAAAGUACUUUCAGCGGGGAGGCGUUACCCGCAGAAGAAGCACCGGCUAACUCCGUGCCAGCAGCCGCGGUAAUUC
rnacentral:rRNA from 1 species